GCUGGGCAAGGUGGCGCAUGCCUGUAAUCCCAGCAGCUCUGGAGACUGAGGCAGGAGGAUCAAGAGUUCAAAGCCAGCCUCAGCAACAAUGAGGUGCUAUCUCAGCAAGACCCUGUCUCUA
rnacentral:sRNA from 1 species